rnacentral:lncRNA from 1 species
AUGCAGUGCUCCUGUGCCAGAGAUGCUGUCUUUCACCACGCACUGAAGGACUACGCCAAAGCCUGUUCCCAUCCUCCAGGUCAGAAGAAUGCACGUAUUCUCCAGAAGUUGGUUACUUCAGCUGCCCACACUGAGAGCCAGCACUUCCACAGCAGGGAUUUGUUGAGGGAAAAGCUGAACUGGUUGAAGAUGCCCUUAUUGAUCUGUGUUAAUGCAAUUUCCUUCUCAUCACGUGUUCAGUUUUGCAUUUUGCUUUUAGUGCUGUGUGGAUCAUGGACGCAGCCAUGGGUGUUCUCUUAUGGAUCCCUUCCCUUGCACUCUUGCUGGCACUAUGGAGAUAAAACGUCUCACAACACCUCCACUGGGUGCAACAGGCUCUCACCGUGAAUCAGCAAAAGUGUGGCAACCUGCUGUGGCAGAACAGUGACUCCCACACUUGCUGCACCAUGCACUGCAGCAUCCCUUCUCUCACAAUUCAUUCAUUUGAGAUCUUUCCUGUAAACUAACCUGCCAAAACACAUCUUUGCUCACCAAUUUCAUCACUUCUCCAGUUUCCAGUCAAUGUGUUGAUCAGAGAAGCUGUCACGAUAAAGGCACAGGCCCGUUCCUACAUGCUCUGCUCUUUGAGGAGCAUUAGCCAAGCAUCUUGCAUAAGGUCCUUUCAUUCAUGAAGCAUGCACACCUGAGGACAUGUGUGGAGUUAUACCUACCCCAUGCCACGGGCAGUCUGGCUCAGGUCCACCCCAGCUCAUAGCCCAGGAGGACUGGCACUGGAAAAGCUGACAAACUGAAAGUCAAAUUGCUGGAACAAAAUCCUACCAUUUCGACUGGAAAAUCUAUUCAGCUGGAGCCAGGCUGCAGUAGAGGAUGGCGAUCUCAUUUUGCAUAAGACAGCAGAGAGUAAUCUGAUGAUUUUCUGUGACUAAUACAAUAGGUUGUAUAUGAAUGGUCGAUGGAGAGAUGAAAGGUUUCAUAUUCUGUUACCAAAUCCCUAAGCCAUCUGGUUCCUAAUGACUUCUUUCAAAACAAAGGGAAUAAAACUUCUGAGUUGUGCA